rnacentral:rRNA from 1 species
AACGAACGCUGGCGGCGUGCCUAACACAUGCAAGUCGAACGGGGAUGGGGAGCUUGCUUCCUAUUCUAGUGGCGCACGGGUGAGUAACGCGUAGAUAAUCUGCCUGAUGAUCUGGGAUAACACUUCGAAAGAGGUGCUAAUACCGGAUAAGCCCACGGAGUCUUUGGACUUUGCGGGAAAAGGGGGGGACCUUAUGGCCUUCUGUCAUCAGAUGAGUCUGCGUACCAUUAGCUAGUUGGUAGGGUAAAGGCCUACCAAGGCGACGAUGGUUAGCUGGUCUGAGAGGACGAUCAGCCACACUGGAACUGAGACACGGUCCAGACUCCUACGGGAGGCAGCAGUGGGGAAUUUUGCGCAAUGGGCGAAAGCCUGACGCAGCAACGCCGCGUGAGUGGUGAAGGCUUUCGGGUCGUAAAGCUCUGUCGAGGGGAAAGAAGUGUAUUGUGGUUAAUACCCAUAAUACUUGACGGUACCCCUAAAGGAAGCACCGGCUAACUCCGUGCCAGCCGCCGCAGUAAAAC